AUGGCCAGCAGAGCCAAAGCUAGACCCAUCAAACGCGUGUUGUGCUGUGUGGCAGAAGGCGAACAUCCCAUGCCUUUGUGCCGGUCUCACCAAGGAGAAAGAGAAGAUAUGGUGUAUGGAGAAGGUCGGCUAUGUUGCCAAUUUCUGCAAGAAGCCAUUCCCACAUGGCUACAAGUGCGGAAGUAA
rnacentral:rRNA from 1 species